rnacentral:rRNA from 1 species
UACGAAGGGGGCUAGCGUUGCUCGGAAUUACUGGGCGUAAAGGGCGCGUAGGCGGAUGUUUAAGUCAGCGGUGAAAGCCCAGGGCUCAACCUUGGAACUGCCAUUGAUACUGGACAUCUUGAGUACGGGAGAGGUGAGUGGAACACCGAGUGUAGAGGUGAAAUUCGUAGAUAUUCGCAAGAACACCAGUGGCGAAGGCGGCUCACUGGUCCGGUUCUGACGCUGAGGCGCGAAAGCGUGGGGAGCAAACAGG